GAAGUCUCGCAAGCAGAAAGAUCAGAAAAAGGUCAAUCAGGACGCCAUGGUGCUUGAGCUGCAGAAGAAACACAGGAACCACCAGGACAAGAGGCGAGAAGCUUCAGACGGAGCCAUAGAAAAUAUCAUCUCAGAUUUGAAAAAUGAGCCUUACAGAAGGGCGGACGGGAUCCGACGCAGUCUGCGGCGGAAGCAGCAGGAAAACCUACGGCCUACAAUCCUCUCCAAUGAAAUGGUCAUCUGAAUCAGCUUUGGCAUGAAGAGGUCCAAGAUGAAAUACCCCGGGCAGAAAUAGGUCGAGAUCCCCUCCCACCCCCCCACCCACCC